CAGCAGCCGCGGUAAUACGUAGGUGGCAAGCGUUGUCCGGAAUUAUUGGGCGUAAAGGGCUCGCAGGCGGUUUCUUAAGUCUGAUGUGAAAGCCCCCGGCUCAACCGGGGAGGGUCAUUGGAAACUGGGGAACUUGAGUGCAGAAGAGGAGAGUGGAAUUCCACGUGUAGCGGUGAAAUGCGUAGAGAUGUGGAGGAACACCAGUGGCGAAGGCGACUCUCUGGUCUGUAACUGACGCUGAGGAGCGAAAGCGUGGGGAGCGAACAGGAUUAGAUACCCUGGUAGUCCACGCCGUAAACGAUGAGUGCUAAGUGUUAGGGGGUUUCCGCCCCUUAGUGCUGCAGCUAACGCAUUAAGCACUCCGCCUGGGGAGUACGGUCGCAAGACUGAAACUCAAAGGAAUUGACGGGGGCCCGCACAAGCGGUGGAGCAUGUGGUUUAAUUCGAAGCAACGCGAAGAACCUUACCAGGUCUUGACAUCCUCUGACAAUCCUAGAGAUAGGACGUCCCCUUCGGGGGCAGAGUGACAGGUGGUGCAUGGUUGUCGUCAGCUCGUGUCGUGAGAUGUUGGGUUAAGUCCCGCAACGAGCGCAACCCUUGAUCUUAGUUGCCAGCAUUCAGUUGGGCACUCUAAGGUGACUGCCGGUGACAAACCGGAGGAAGGUGGGGAUGACGUCAAAUCAUCAUGCCCCUUAUGACCUGGGCUACACACGUGCUACAAUGGACAGAACAAAGGGCAGCGAAACCGCGAGGUUAAGCCAAUCCCACAAAUCUGUUCUCAGUUCGGAUCGCAGUCUGCAACUCGACUGCGUGAAGCUGGAAUCGCUAGUAAUCGCGGAU
rnacentral:rRNA from 1 species